rnacentral:misc_RNA from 1 species
AAGUCGUAACAAGGUUUCCGUAGGUGAACCUGCGGAAGGAUCAUUAACACGUAUCCAACGUUAAAGCCCCCAGUGCGCUCGCACUUUCUUAGAAAAGGUAGCAAUCCCUGGUAAAUCAUUGCCGAACAGUUUUGAUUCAGGGACUUCUGCGUAGACUGUGCUUGAGCGUGAGGCAAGUGGCCUGGCAUUCCUCUGCUGGUGACACUUUCAGACGCAGUCACGAUCGCUAGAGGCCGACACGGCCGGCGACCGGGUCACUGGGCGCGAGCCCCCCUCGUCACCUUUGCAUGAAAACGGGCCUGCGCUUAAUUGUGCGGCCACCAAACUCGAACAACUGUUAAAAUGGAUAUCUUGGUUCUC